GUGGAAGUAAUGCCUUUUUGGGAAUCAUAUCAAGGGAGGGCUCGUGUUCAUCUAAGACUUGCAGCUGCUCCACUAACAAAGAAUGUUCCAACGUGAAGGGAUUGACUUGCGAAUGCCCUUUUUCCUCACGACUUGAAUUUCAUUACUGUAGGAGUGAAUUUCCAGCCAGCAAUAUUUCCAUUUUUCCCGUGCCAGCGACUGUUGUUCUCUCUGAGCGAGUAAAUGAUCCUUCAGUAAAUGACUUAGGGAAAUGUUUCGACCCACAAUGUGACAAGAAGCCUGAUUCAGAGUCA